GUGCUUGCUGCGGCAGCACAUAUACUAAAAUUGGAAUGAUACAGAGAAGCUUAGCAUGGUCCCUGCGCAAGGGUGACAUGCAUUCCAUAUUUUUUUAAAAAGUUAUU
ensembl:snRNA U6 U6 spliceosomal RNA